CUUGUAAUCAAGAUCGAGAAUGUAGAUCUUGUUCUAAAUAGUUUAAAAAAUUUUCAAAUCAAAAUUCAAUUAAUUUGAAUAUUUUUAAACUAUUAAACUAGAAAACGUCUGAUAUCGACUAUUAAAAUUAUAAAUUCUGAAUUUUUUUAAUCAUUAGGUUAAUGAUAUCGAAAAGAAUUAAAAUUUUAUUUCUAAAUACUUCAAUUGGUAUAUAUUAUGUUCAACGAUACCUAUCGUUGAUUUGGAGGCUCCAUUAGCGAAAACAAAUUAAUUAGUGGCAAUAUAAUCUGUUUAUUAUCGGUAGCAUUCCAGCUCAACUCUCUAAUUUGUAUCUAUUAUCAAACAAGCCGUAAACAAA
rnacentral:lncRNA from 1 species